GACGAACGCUGGCGGCGUGCUUAACACAUGCAAGUCGAACGGAAAGGCCCUGCUUUUGUGGGGUGCUCGAGUGGCGAACGGGUGAGUAACACGUGAGUAACCUGCCCUUGACUUUGGGAUAACUUCAGGAAACUGGGGCUAAUACCGGAUAGGAGCUCCUGCUGCAUGGUGGGGGUUGGAAAGUUUCGGCGGUUGGGGAUGGACUCGCGGCUUAUCAGCUUGUUGGUGGGGUAGUGGCUUACCAAGGCUUUGACGGGUAGCCGGCCUGAGAGGGUGACCGGCCACAUUGGGACGGAGAUACGGCCCGGCCUCCUACGGGAGGCGGCGGUGGGGAAUAUUGCACAAGGGGCGGAGGCCUGAUGCAGCAACGCCGCGUGGGGGGUGACGGCAUUCGGGUUGUAAACCGCUUUCGCCUGUGACGAAGCGUGAGUGACGGUAAUGGGUAAAGAAGCACCGGCUAACUACGUG
rnacentral:rRNA from 1 species